rnacentral:rRNA from 1 species
UACAGAGGUGCCAAGCGUUAGGCGGAAUCACUGGGCUUAAGGCGCGCGUAGGCGGAUGUUUAAGUGUCUUGUGAAAUCCCACGGCUCAACCGUGGAACUGCUGGGCAUACUGGACAUCUCGAGGCACUCAGGGGCGAGCGGAACAAGUGGUGGAGCGGUGAAAUGCGUAGAUAUCACUUGGAACGCCAAUGGUGAAGACAGCUCGCUGGGGGUGUCCUGACGCUGAGGCGCGAAAGCCAGGGGAGCGAACGGG